rnacentral:rRNA from 1 species
ACUCCUACGGGAGGCAGCAGUGGGGAAUAUUGCACAAUGGGGAAAGACCCUGAUGCAGCAAACGCCGCGUGGAGGAUGACACAUUUCGGUGCGUAAACUCCUUUUAUAUAGGAAGAUAAUGACGGUACUAUAUGAAUAAGCGCCGGCAUAACUCCGUGCCAAGCAGCCGGGUAAUACGGAGGGCGCAAGCGUUACUCGGAAUCACUGGGCGUAAAGAGCGUGUAGGCGGAUAGAUAAGUCAGGAGUGAAAUCCUAUGGCUCAACCAUAGAACUGCUCUUGAAAACUGUCAAUCUAGAGUAUGGGAGAGGUAGAUGGAAUUUCUGGUGUAGGGUAAAAUCCGUAGAGAUCAGAAGGAAUACCGAUUGCGAAGGCGAAUCUACUGGAACAUAACUGACGCUGAGACGCG